CGGGAGGCAGCAGUGGGGAAUAUUGCGCAAUGGGGGAAACCCUGACGCAGCAAUGCCGCGUGAGUGAGGAAGGCCCUCGGGUUGUAAAGCUCUGUCAGAUAGGAAGAACUGCCAUUGGUCCAAUAGGCCUUUGGUUUGACGGUACUAUCAAAGGAAGCACCGGCUAACUUCGUGCCAGCAGCCGCGGUAAUACGAAGGGUGCAAGCGUUGUUCGGAUUUACUGGGCGUAAAGCGCGCGCAGGCGGAUUGGUAAGUCAGAUGUGAAAUCUCGGGGCUCAACCCCGAAACUGCGUCUGAAACUAUUAAUCUAGAGUCUCGGAGAGGGAAGGGGAAUUUCGCAUGUAGGGGUAAAAUCCGUAGAGAUGCGAAGGAACACCAGAGGCGAAGGCGCCUUCCUGGACGAGUACUGACGCUGAGGCGCGAAAGCGUGGGGAGCAAACAGGAUUAGAUACCCUGGUAGUCCGCGCCGUAAACGAUGAGCACUAGAUAUGGGGAUGUUGACCGUCUCCGUGUCGCAGCUAACGCAUUAAGUGCUCCGCCUGGGGAGUACGGUCGCAAGACUAAAACUCAAAGGAAUUGACGG
rnacentral:rRNA from 1 species